rnacentral:rRNA from 1 species
UACGUAGGGUGCAAGCGUUAAUCGGAAUUACUGGGCGUAAAGCGUGCGCAGGCGGUUAUGCAAGACAGAUGUGAAAUCCCCGGGCUCAACCUGGGAACUGCAUUUGUGACUGCAUGGCUAGAGUACGGUAGAGGGGGAUGGAAUUCCGCGUGUAGCAGUGAAAUGCGUAGAUAUGCGGAGGAACACCGAUGGCGAAGGCAAUCCCCUGGACCUGUACUGACGCUCAUGCACGAAAGCGGUGGGGAGCAAACAGG